UUCCCACAUUUUCAGUUUAUUGUUAGAGGAGUUUUUCAUUUUAUUUAUUUUUAUAUUAUUUAUAAAUUGACGGGCCAAGGAACUUCACUCAAACUCGAAGAGUUUUUCAGCCGGUGUCUCAAUUUUGUUAAGCCUAUAAUGGAUAUAUGCACGGACAUUCACUUAACUUACAAUCAUUAAAGUUUAAGAACAUACUUUGUAUUUUCAUUUAAAACAUUAAUAAUAGCCUUAAAAUGUCUAGGUUACUAUGGAACUUUGAAUUAUGUGCUCAGUAUAUUUCAUGUAAGUGGGUGAUUGGAAGAAUUGAGUUUUUAUCCAAAAGUAGUUGCUCUUAUUAACCAACAAAGAGCACAAUCUUGGAGCUCCACUAAAGAUAGUGUUAAGAACUAUCGAAUUGGUAUAUUGUACAGUAAGUAAUAUACUUUGCUACAAUUCUUGGUGGUUUUCUGGCCAGGAUUUGUUUGUUCUGUCUGUGGCAAGCAGUUAUGGUCCAAGUGGAGCUUCAAUAGGCAUAUGAGUGGCCACACUGGCACCCGUCAACUGGAAUAUUGCCAUUUGUGUGGGAAGAACUUUACUUGGAGAGAUAGUCUGUUACGUCACCAGAGGCUGAAACACAGAAUAUUUUCUCAUCGGUCACCAAAUAAUCCUUUUCGGAGGAAAAAAUAUAAAUGAUCAAGGAAAUUGGUGUUAAAUUGUGAUGUGCUGUGUCUGGCACAACUAGUUAACCUUCUGAUUACCAUUGCUUUUAAUGGGAGAAAUAAAAUUCUUGGAAAUUACAUGUGCCACUGCUAGCUCUAAUAGUAAAAGUAAGAAUUAUAAUUGAGGAUUACAUAAACAGAAAGAAGUUAUUAUUUUAUAAUUAGUAUGUUUUGAAUUCAAUGAUGUUGUGAACUAAUUUUCUUAAAAAAGGUCAGUUUCUUACAAAUUCUGCCUUCAAGUUUUCCUAGUUAACACAAUUAAUGUAAUAAAAAAUUGUUUGAUUGUAAUGUGUGCUAGAAUCAUAAUGUUAAAUUCUUUUAGAGGGUGUUAGAUUGUUUUGUUUUUGAGGUAGGGUUCUAUUAUUAAUAUAAAUUUCAACUUGAAAAAUGUAAAAUGUUUACUUGAAUAUAAAAAUACAAAUUUAUAGACUAAAUUCUAGAAUUAAAAAAAAAUAUAUUUUUUAGAGGUAGAGAGAGGCGAAGGUUAUGGGAUAUAUUUUAAAUCAUUUUACUUUUUAUCAAUCUUUUAAGUUUACUAACAAAAACCAUAAUAUACAGUUAAGGACAGAAAGUACUCAUCUGUAAAUACUUUAGUAGUAAUUUUAAACCUUCAUUCCAAACUUAAGAUUUUGUGUAUUUAGAAGUUAUUUAUAAGUGGCAUAUUUCAACUAUUAGCAUGUUUAGAAUGAGAUCUAAUUACUUGUUUCACUGAUUAAAACAGAAUUACUAAUAUAAGAAGGCAUAAUUAUUCACAAACUUUUACAUGUCGUUCAAGUCUUAUUAAAAGAAUCAAUAAAUUUGAUAUUGUUUGUUAAAAUUCAACUAUACAAUUAUAAUUAAUGAACUGUUUUUUAUUUUGCAUAAUUAUUUAAUCUUUUGCCACAAAAAUUUGAUCUUAUAGAAUAUUCACAUUCCUUGUCUAGUUUUAAAGUGAUAAAACAAUUCUUUAAUGUAAAAUUAAGUGAUGUUUUAAAAGUGCAUUUUGUAUAUUGAGCAUAAAGACCAAUAAAGUUCUGUAGGGUGAC
rnacentral:lncRNA from 1 species